CGCCUCUUGAAUUAAUAUAAGAGGUCCAGCCUGCCCAGUGACCCUGUUCAACGGCCGCGGUAUCCUAACCGUGCGAAGGUAGCGUAAUCACUUGUUCUUUAAAUGAGGACUAGUAUGAACGGCAUCACGAAGGUUAUACUGUCUCCUUUUUCCAAUCAGUGAACCUAAUCUCCCCGUGAAGAAGCGGGGAUGUAAUUAUAAGACGAGAAGACCCUAUGGAGCUUAAAACAACACAGCACUUGCUAAAAAAUUAAACAAUUUCAGAAUUUUCCUUUUCUAAGCAACAUGACUGUAAGUUUUUGGUUGGGGUGACCACGGAGUAUAAUAUAACCUCCAUGUUGGAAGAAUUUUAUUCUAAGCCAAAAAUUACAUUUUUAAGCAUCAAUAAAUUGACAUCUAUUGACCCAAUAUAUUUGAACAACGAACCAAGUUACCCUAGGGAUAACAGCGCAAUCCACUUCAAGAGCUCCUAUCGACAAGUGGGUUUACGACCUCGAUGUUGGAUCAGGGUAUCCCAGUGGUGCAGCCGCUACUAAAGGUUCGUUUGUUCAACGAUUAAAACCCU
rnacentral:rRNA from 1 species